GACGAACGCUGGCGGCGCGCUUAACACAUGCAAGUCGAGCGAGAACCAGGGCUUCAGCCCUGGGGAAAGCGGCGAACGGGUGAGUAACACGUGAGUAAUCCACCCUCGGUACCGGGAUAGCCCGGGGAAACCCGGAUUAAUACCGGAUGGCCCAGCAGCUCUUCGGGGCGGCUGGAAAAGGUAGCUUCGGCCUCCGACCGAGGACGAGCUCGCGGCGGAUUAGCUUGUUGGUGGGGUAACGGCCUACCAAGGCGACGAUCCGUAGCUGGUCUGAGAGGACGAUCAGCCACACUGGGACUGAGACACGGCCCAGACUCCUACGGGAGGCAGCAGUGGGGAAUCUUGCGCAAUGGGCGAAAGCCUGACGCAGCGACGCCGCGUGCGGGAAGAAGGCCUUCGGGUUGUAAACCGCUUUCAGGAGGGACGAAGCCACUCGGGUUAAUAGCCCAGAGGGUGACGGUACCUCCAGAAGAAGCCCCGGCUAACUACGUGCCAGCCGCCGGGUAACAC
rnacentral:rRNA from 1 species